GUCCUGGAGAGAAAGACAGGCAAAUAUAUACAUGAGACGACCAGGUGACAUUUGAGUAGAAACGACCCUAUGGAAAUCAUAACUGAUAAGGGUUUGGCAACAUGGGUUGGCUAGCUACCAACUGGAGUUGUUUUGCUUGACAUAUAUAUCAACAUCUCACAUUAGGAGUUACUCUUCCAAUGUAAAAGUGUAGGCCUAUGACCAAUUCCAAUCAUAUCCCCUAACCGUAGGCACUUUCUGUUUGGUGUUAAAAGGAUGUGAGAAGUAACAACAACAUAAUAUAUACCUAACAGUACCUCUAAGGCAGCAUUUCACCAUUUGUUUACCAUUUCAUCUGAUAGGAGAACUUAAAGCAAAGAUUUGACAUAAUGAUCAUGUUUCUGUAAGUUGGGAAAUUGACAGUAGGCAUGCUGGGCCCUUCUGAUUGGAGGACUUAGGUACAUACCAACUAUUUCCUAUUACAUGAGAUAUGUACAGGGAAAAUAAAGAGCAUGCAAGGAAGAGAACAUGAGGCAAUGCUGAGACAGGGCUAGUCUACAACUUCAACAAAAGUUGAGGCACUCAAACAUGUCUUCAUGAGCAUACUGUGUAUCAAAACUUGCAUCCUUAGACUUUAGACUUGUUGCCACCAUUUCCAAAUGAGUGAAAAACAACUGAUUGCUAGUUUCGAAGAACUCCUAAUUGAACAUUUCUAAAUAUUUGUUAAUUCACUCUGGAGGCAAUUAUCAGCCUAAUACAUCAUAGUGUGCAUGACACUCUUGUUGGAGUGUGCGUGUGUAGGGCAGCGGAUGAGCCCAAAGACCAUGACAUUUGAGAUGGGCUUUACAUAGACAAAUGGACAGGCGAGACGGAAAAGUAAAAACCCAAAUGUCCUAUUAUGAAAUAGCCUAACAUAAACGCCAAUAGCCCCACCAAACAUUCAAAUAUAGACUUUUAUCAUUCCACCUUUCUUCUAUAAUGUAAAAUAGCCCUCUAUUUUUGUUCGGAAUAUAAAACAAAAAAACACUUUUCAACUGCGCUAAAUAAGUGUUUAUGUGUAGGCUACCGUUCACAGAUUUGUAUAUACUAAUAUUAUCUAGUCAAAAUGCAUGAUCUACAGACAGGCUAUCAAUUGUUUUAAUACGAGGGUGAUGUCUAGACCGUUAUUCAGAAGGGGAAAAACUAAAACCCUACUUUUUAGAGCAAGAAGCUGUCUGUUGGCCUAUUCAGAUGAGAAAAUGCUGGGAUUGCACGGGGAAGGUUGGAGAAAGGAUGGGGAAAGUCAAUGCGAGUCGGCAGUUGGAACUCCCGAGUCCGAGAGCAUGCAUACAACUGAAUUGGGACUAAAGUGGGCACCUGAUUGCAUUUCACUCCAUUGCAUUGGCUUGGCCGGAGAAAACAGUCCUGCCUGACACAUUUGGAGGUAAAGGACAUCCCACCCUGACACCCAGCAGAUAUAAAGAACUUGCUUUGAACCUCCCAACCACCCGGAUAAUCACCAUACCAUGACUGUGUUGUUGUGUGUAUAUAUAGACAAAAUGUAUAUGGACACCCUUUCAAAUUUGUGGAUUCGGCUAUUUCAGCCACACCGUUGCCGACGGGUGUAUAAAAUCGAGCACACAACAUAGAGCAACAUUGGCAGUAGAAUAGCCUUACUGAAGAGGUCUGUGACUUUCGAGGCACCGUCAUAGGAUGCCACCUUUCCAACAAGUCAGUUUGUCAAAUUUCUGUUAUUGUGAAGUGGAAAGGUCUAGGAGCAACAAUCGCUCAGCCUUGAAGUGGCCUAAGUUCACCAUGCGCAAUGCCAAGCGUCGGCUGGAGUGGUGUAAAGCUUGCCACCAUUGGACUCCGGAGCAGUGGAAAUGCGUUCUCUGGAGUGAUGAAUCACGCUUCACCAUCUGGCAGUCCGACGGACAAAUCUGGUUUUGGCGGACGCCAGGAGAGCGCCAUCUGCCCCAAUGCGUAGUGCCAUCUGUAAAUGGUCUGGGUAUGUUGUUCGGGCUAGGCCCCUUAGUUCCAGUGAAGGGAAAUCUUAACGCUACGGCAGACUGUACAAUGACAUUCUAGAUGAUUCUGUGCUUCCAACUUUGUGGCUACAGUUUGGGGAAAGCCCUUUCCUGUUUCAGCAUGACAAGGCCCCUGUGCACAUGGUGAGGUCUAUGGCUUGUCGAGAUCAAUGUGGAAGAACUUGACUGGCCUGCACAGAGCCCUCACCUCAACCCCAUCGAACACCUUUGGGAUGAAUUGGAAUGCCAACUGGGAGCCAGGCCUAAUCGCCCAACAUCAGUGCCC